rnacentral:rRNA from 1 species
AUUGAACGCUGGCGGCAUGCCUUACACAUGCAAGUCGAACGGUAACAGGUCUUCGGAUGCUGACGAGUGGCGAACGGGUGAGUAAUACAUCGGAACGUGCCCGAGAGUGGGGGAUAACGAGGCGAAAGCUUUGCUGAUACCGCAUACGAUCUCAGGAUGAAAGCAGGGGACCGCAAGGCCUUGCGCUCACGGAGCGGCCGAUGGCAGAUUAGGUAGUUGGUGGGAUAAAAGCUUACCAAGCCGACGAUCUGUAGCUGGUCUGGGAGGACGACCAGCCACACUGGGACUGGGACACGGCCCAGACUCCUACGGGAGGCAGCAGUGGGGAAUUUUGGACAAGGGGCGCAAGCCUGAUCCAGCCAUGCCGCGUGCAGGAUGAAGGCCUUCGGGUUGUAAACUGCUUUUGUACGGAACGAAAAGACUCUGGUUAAUACCUGGGGUCCAUGACGGUACCGUAAGAAUAAGCACCGGCUAACUACGUGCCAGCAGCCGCCGUAAUAC